rnacentral:rRNA from 1 species
GUACACAAAAAUGCACAUACUGUGAGCUCGAUGAGUAGGGCGGGACACGUGGUAUCCUGUCUGAAUAUGGGGGGACCAUCCUCCAAGGCUAAAUACUCCUGACUGACCGAUAGUGAACCAGUACCGUGAGGGAAAGGCGAAAAGAACCCCGGCGAGGGGAGUGAAAAAGAACCUGAAACCGUGUACGUACAAGCAGUGGGAGCCUCUUAAUGGGGUGACUGCGUACCUUUUGUAUAAUGGGUCAGCGACUUAUAUUCUGUAGCAAGGUUAACCGAAUAGGGGAGCCGAAGGGAAACCGAGUCUUAACUGGGCGUUAAGUUGCAGGGUAUAGACCCGAAACCCGGUGAUCUAGCCAUGGGCAGGUUGAAGGUUGGGUAACACUAACUGGAGGACCGAACCGACUAAUGUUGAAAAAUUAGCGGAUGACUUGUGGCUGGGGGUGAAAGGCCAAUCAAACCGGGAGAUAGCUGGUUCUCCCCGAAAGCUAUUUAGGUAGCGCCUCGUGAAUUCAUCUCCGGGGGUAGAGCACUGUUUCGGCAAGGGGGUCAUCCCGACUUACCAACCCGAUGCAAACUGCGAAUACCGGAGAAUGUUAUCACGGGAGACACACGGCGGGUGCUAACGUCCGUCGUGAAGAGGGAAACAACCCAGACCGCCAGCUAAGGUCCCAAAGUCAUGGUUAAGUGGGAAACGAUGUGGGAAGGCCCAGACAGCCAGGAUGUUGGCUUAGAAGCAGCCAUCAUUUAAAGAAAGCGUAAUAGCUCACUGGUCGAGUCGGCCUGCGCGGAAGAUGUAACGGGGCUAAACCAUGCACCGAAGCUGCGGCAGCGACACUAUGUGUUGUUGGGUAGGGGAGCGUUCUGUAAGCCUGUGA